AGAGUUUGAUCAUGGCUCAGAACGAACGCUGGCGGCGUGCUUAACACAUGCAAGUCUAACGAGAAAGUUUCCUUCGGGGAAUGAGUAAAGUGGCGCACGGGUGAGUAACACGUGGGUAACCUACCCUUCAGUUUGGGAUAACACUUCGAAAGGGGUGCUAAUACCGGAUACGUUCACUUAAGCUUCGGCUUUUUUGGAGAAAGAUGGCCUCUAUACUAUGCUGUCACUGAUGGAUGGGCCCGCGGACCAUUAGCUAGUUGGUAGGGUAAUGGCCUACCAAGGCUCCGAUGGUUAGCUGGUCUGAGAGGAUGAUCAGCCACACUGGUACUGGAACACGGACCAGACUCCUACGGGAGGCAGCAGUGGGGAAUAUUGCGCAAUGGGGGAAACCCUGACGCAGCAACGCCGCGUGAGUGAUGAAGGCCUUUGGGUCGUAAAGCUCUGUCAGAGGGGAAGAAGGUGUCAAAGUUAAUAGCUAUGAUUACUUGACGGUACCCUCAAAGGAAGCACCGGCUAACUCCGUGCCAGCAGCCGCGGUAAUACGGGGGGUGCAAGCGUUGUUCGGAAUUACUGGGCGUAAAGGGCGCGUAGGCGGCUAUUUAAGUCAGAUGUGAAAGCCCAGGGCUCAACCCUGGAACUGCAUUUGAAACUGGAUGGCUUGAGUACGGGAGAGGGAAGUGGAAUUCCAAGUGUAGAGGUGAAAUUCGUAGAUAUUUGGAGGAACACCAGUGGCGAAGGCGGCUUUCUGGUCUAUCUCUGACGCUGAGGAGCGAAAGCUAGGGGAGCAAACGGGAUUAGAUACCCCGGUAGUCCUAGCUGUAAACGAUGGAUACUAGGUGUGGGGAGGUAUCGACCCUUCUGUGCCGUAGCUAACGCAUUAAGUAUCCCGCCUGGGAGUACGGUCGCAAGGCUG
rnacentral:rRNA from 1 species